AUUGAACGCUGGCGGCAGGCCUAACACAUGCAAGUCGAGCGGAAGAAGGGAGCUUGCUCCUGGAUUGCGCGGGGGACGGGGGAGUAAUGCCUAGGAAUCUGACUGGGAGUGGGGGAUAACGUCCGCAAACGGGCGCUAAUACCGCAACCGCCCAGAGGGGGAAGGUGGGGGAGCGUGAGACCUCACGCUAUCAGAUGAGCCUAGGUCGGAUUAGCUAGUUGGUGGGGUAAAGGCCUACCCAGGCGACGAUCCGUAACUGGUCUGAGAGGAUGAUCAGUCACACUGGAACUGAGACACGGUCCAGACUCCUACGGGAGGCAGCAGUGGGGAAUAUUGGACAAUGGGCGAAAGCCUGAUCCAGCCAUGCCGCGUGUGUGAAGAAGGUCUUCGGAUUGUAAAGCACUUUAAGUUGGGAGGAAGGGCAGUAAGCUAAUACCUUGCUGUUUUGACGUUACCAACAGAAUAAGCACCGGCUAACUUCGUG
rnacentral:rRNA from 1 species